UCCCGUGUGGCUCAGUUGGUAGAGCAUGGUGUUUGCAACGCCAGGGUUGUGGGUUCGAUUCCCAACUGGGGAC
rnacentral:tRNA from 1 species